GCCACAGUGACUGAUGUUGAGAAGACCUUCAACCUGCCUUUAACACCACGCCUGAUACUACUCUGUGGAAAAGACCAUGUGACUGCUGGGCACUGGAUGAUCAGUCUUGAGAGCCAUAUUGUAUGUGAGGGCAUUCAACCAACCUUUGUGACAGGGCUUGCUGCACUGUUUUCAAUGUACUACAUCUUUAAUCUACAAUAUCAAGAAGAGGCUGCAUGUACACUUGAAUUCAUCCAGAGGCGCUUUCUUGAUAUCAACCCUGAAAGAGGGACCAAGGCCAGCUGUGGCAAGAUUGUCUCCAAGAGGACAGGAAAAACUGUUCAAAAGAAGUCAGUCACUGUCAACCCCCGUGUUUCAACUCUGCUAAAAAACCUCAUGGACUUUGAGUGGAAUUUCAUAUAGGU